CAGCAGCACAUAUACUAAAAAAAAUAAAUUGGAACAGUGCAGAGAAGAUUAGCAUGGCCCUUGCAUAAGGGUGACAUGCAAAUUCGUUAAGCAUUCCAUAUUAAA
ensembl:snRNA U6 U6 spliceosomal RNA